rnacentral:lncRNA from 1 species
UGCGGGCCAUGUUCUGGAGGGUCAGGGAUCGGCAGGGCGGGCCCAGGCCCGGGGCUGUGGUGCCCCGGAGGCCGGCGGUAGCAAGAUGGGGGAGAAUGCCCGGCCCAGGACACCCCAUCCGGAGCCAGGGUGGGGAGAGCCAGGAAGCUGCUGUGGAAAGUUCAGGAGCUCUGGGGGCGCCCCUGCGGGCAAGCCAGGGAGGGGGCAGCGGCGGUUCAUUCUCUGAGCAUUUUGCCCACUCCCGCCCCGUGUCCCGCCUCUGGCAGCUCAGCUCACCGCCCCGGCCAGGCUGAAGUCCUUGCAGCAGGGGAGUGGGCGACCCUGGCCAGGGCGGGGUGGAGACAGAGCCUGCAGUAGGGAGCACGACCUGGGAAGAGACCCCACGGGCUAAUUCGGGGACGGAGAGCUGGAGACAGGGACCGAGAGAGGUGGGGUGGGGGCAGAGCUGGAGAGAGGCGCGGACGCGGGUGGGAUCCGGCCAAGGCUGCGACCAACUCGACGUCGCCCACCCCCAGGCGUCAGGCGCUGGAAGGGGCGGGGGGCAAGGAACCGAGACCUCGUCCUUGCCCUGGGGAGUCUCUGGCUGGCUGGAAGCAGUGGGGCGGUGGCAGUGGGACCCCUGCAGAGUCUCGCGCACUCCCCGCCCCCUCAUCCCCCAGCGCGACUGAUCUUGAGAGCCCGGGGAUGGGGCGCACCAGUCCCAUCUGCAAGCAGCUCCGGGAGAUGCUGGAGCGCUGGCCCCUCCCCGCCGCCCCGCCCUCCAGGACUCCCCCCCAGACCCUCAAGCACUUGCCCAGCGGGGAGCCCGGACCCCCCUUCCCAGCUGGAAUGCCUGGCGGAGGCUCCGGUGUCAAGAGCCUGAGAACCUGAGAACCCACCCGAGGCCCCCGCCAGGCAGCGCCGCCAGCAGAUUUAUUUACUCUGGGGCCCUAUCUCCGCGCCAUCGGGCCAGAUAUUUGCCCUGGCGGGAUCCAGGGAAACUGCGGUUUUUGUUAUGAUAGCUGGGGCAGGGACACCAUCCCGGAGAGACCUGUUUAGAGUGGAGAGCUGACUCGCUGAGACCCACGUUUCUUGCUGGGAGUCUCGGUUCCCUCAUUAGUAAAAUGGGGAGCAUAAAAACAAAAGCGCGCCCGAGAUGACGCGGGUUACGAAGCAAAAGCUCUCAGAGCAGAGCCUGGCCUCCUGUUCGCUUUUUUUUUUUUUUUUUUUUUUUUGAGACUGAGUCUCGUUCUAUUGCCCAGGCUGGAGUGCAGUGGCACAAUCUCGGCUCACUGCAACCUCCUUUUCCCAGGUUCAAGGGAUUCUCCCUCCCAAGUAGCUAGGAUUACAGGCGCCCAAUGUCAGGCCUCCGAGCCAAAGCUAAGCCAUCAUAUCCCCUGUGAACUGCAUGUACACAUCCAGAUGGCGGGUUCCUGCCUUAACUGAUGACAUUCCACCACAAAAGAAGUGGAAAUGGCCUGUUCCUGCCUUAACUGAUGACAUUACCUUGUGAAAUUCCUUCUCCUGGCUCAUCCUGGCUCAAAAGCUCCCUCACUGAGCACCUUGUGACUCCCACCCCUGCCCACCAGAAAAGAACCCCCUUUGACUGUAAUUUUCCUUUACCUACGCAAAUCCUAUAAAACGGCCCCACCCCAUGUCCCUUCGCUGACUCUUUUCGGACUCAGCCUACCUGCACCCAGGUGAUUCAAAAGCUUUAUUGCUCACACAAAGCCUGUUUGGUGGUCUCUUCACACGGACGCGAGUGAAAUUUGGUGCCGUGACUCAGAUCGGGGGACCUCCCUUGGGAGAUCAAUCCCCUGUCCUCCUGCUCUUUGCUCCGUGAGAAAGAUCCACCUACGACCUCGGGUCCUCAGACCAACCAGCCCAAGGAACAUCUCACCAAUUUUAAAUCCAGUAAGCGGCCUCUCUUUACUCUCUUCUCCAACCUCCCUCACUAUCCCUCAACCUCGUUCUCCUUUCAGUCUUGGUGCCACACUUCAAUCUCUCCCUUCUCUUAAUUUCAGUUCCUUUCCUUUUCUGGUAGAGACAAAGGAGAUGCGUUUUAUCUGUGGACCCAAAACUCUGGCACCGGUCACGGACUUGGGAAGACCGUCUUCCCUUGGUGUUUAAUCAUUGCGGGGACUCCUGCCUGAUUAUACACCCACAAUCCAUUGGUAUCUGAUCUCCGUGGGGACGCCUGCCUUGGUCAUUCACCCACAUUCCCUUGGUGGCAAGUCAAUUGCGGGGAUGCCUGCUUUGGCUGCUCACCCACAUUGCAGCCAGGGCUGCUCACCCAACCCAUUCUCUCUGUGUCUCUACCCUCUCUUCUCUCCACUUUCCUGGGGGGACAAGCAUCCCCCACCCCUUCUCCA